rnacentral:misc_RNA from 1 species
UUUCUUCCUUGCUUAUUUUCAACAUUGGUUUGAAUUUUUUCUAUUUCCACCAUUCAAGUUACAUGUACUAAUCCUAUUUAUGUCAAGAAUCUAGCUGUAUUUCGCGUGCGAUUAGUCUCUUUCAAUCAUUAAAUUUUCAGGAUGUGAUAAUGACCUAGCAAUAAGAGCCGUCAAGUAUGUGCUAGAUCAUUCACCCAUAUUCAACUUGCACUCACAUUACAAAAUUAAUGAUAAUUUCUUUCACUAAUAAGAAGGUUCACUAUUGUCUAAUAGUGCUAAGUAAAGAAGGUGACAACAAGUUUGAAAUGGUAGCUAGUGUAGUAUCUUCUAUCUUUUCUAUAAUGAUUCUGGUUAAAAACAAUUAUGAAUUAUAAAUGUUAACCCUAUUUUUG